rnacentral:rRNA from 1 species
UCCUGACCGUGCGAAGGUAGCGUAAUCACUUGUCUUUUAAAUGAAGACCUGUAUGAAUGGCAUAACGAGGGUUUAACUGUCUCCUUCCCCCAGUCAAUGAAAUUGAUCUGCCCGUGCAGAAGCGGACAUAAAAACAUAAGACGAGAAGACCCUAUGGAGCUUUAGGCCAAGGACCAAUCAUGUUAAGAGACUACAAAACCAAAAAGAACAAAAAAGUCAACAAACCAAAUGAAACCUCGUCCAAGUGCCUUCGGUUGGGGCGACCACGGGGAAAAAAGAAACCCCCACAUGGAAUGGAAAUUAUUUCCUUAAACCAAGAAAAACAAUUCUAAGCAACAGAACAUCUGACCAAUAUAUGACCCAGGAAAACACAUCCUGAUCAAUGAACCAAGUUACCCUAGGGAUAACAGCGCAAUCCUUUCCCAGAGCCCAUAUCGACGAAAGGGUUUACGACCUCGAUGUUGGAUCAGGACAUCCUAAUGGUGCAGCCGCUA